rnacentral:rRNA from 1 species
GGGACACGUGAAACCCUGUGGGAAGCAGGAGGGACCACCCUCCAAGGCUAAAUACUACCUAGUGACCGAUAGCGUAUAGUACCGUGAGGGAAAGGUGAAAAGAACCCCGGGAGGGGAGUGAAAUAGAACCUGAAACCCUGCACUUACAAGCUGUGGAAGCACAUUUCUUGUGUGACCGCGUACUUUUUGUAGAACGGGCCAACGAGUUACGUUAAGUAGCAAGGUUAAGCACUUAAGGUGCGGAGCCGUAGCGAAAGCGAGUUUUAACUGAGCGUUCAGUUACUUGACGUAGACCCGAAACCGGGCGACCUACCCAUGAGCAGGAUGAAGCGAAAGUAAAAUUUCGUGGAGGUCCGAACCCACGAGCGUUGAAAAGCUCGGGGAUGACUUGUGGGUAGCGGUGAAAUUCCAAUCGAGCCCGGAGAUAGCUGGUUCUCCCCGAAAUAGCUUUAGGGCUAGCCUCAAGGUGAGAGAUACGGAGGUAGAGCACUGAAUGUCCUAGGGGGUAUUGCACCUACCGAAGACUAUCAAACUCCGAAUGCCGUCAUCUUAUACUUGGGAGUCAGACUGUGGGUGAUAAGAUUCAUAGUCGAAAGGGCAACAGCCCAGAUCGUCAGCUAAGGUCCCUAAAUGUAAGUUAAGUGGUAAAGGAUGUGGGAUUGCACAGACAACCAGGAUGUUGGCUUAGAAGCAGCCACUCAUUCAAAGAGUGCGUAAUAGCUCACUGGUCGAGUGAUCCUGCGCCGAAGAUUUCCGGGGCUAAAACUUACUACCGAAGCUACGGCAUCAGUAAUGAUGGGUAGGGGAGCUUCCCAUACGGGUUGAAGCAUGACCGUAAGGACAUGUGGACAGUAUGGGAGUGAGAAUGUUGGCAUGAGUAGCGAGAUGUGGGUGAGAAUCCCACAGGCCGUAAACCCAAGGUUUCCAGGGGAAGGUU